rnacentral:tRNA from 1 species
GGUGCUGUGGCUUAGCAGGUUAAAGCCCUGGUCUGCAGCAUCAGCAUCCCAUAUGGUCGCCGGUUCAAGUCCCAGCUGCUCCA